UCGACAGUGAGCUGCACCAUCCUGUUCGUUCUUUAUUUUACUUUAUAAGUUGUUUCUUAACCAUCAGCAAUGGUUAGACUUUAGCAAUUUAGCACAUUUCAGCUUAGAGGAUGUAACAUUUUAAUGCUUCUUUUCUAAUUAGAAAGGUCCUACAGACAUAACCACAGCUUUUAUAUUGGUUUUAUUGGGAAAACGCGAUUCAAUUAAAGUCAGUUCAUGUAAACUUGCAUUUUUCAUGAAACCAGUUACAAGUUGACAAAUGAGGGCUUGUUGUACUUUCGUGAAAGUACCUCAGGGGUAUCUAUUGAACAUUUACUGUCAUUUAACCCUAAAACCAUCGGCCAUUGCUUGUGUCUUUACAAAUCGUACCAUAGAUCUUAGUAUACCAUUAGGAAAAUCUCUGAUACCAUUAGGAAUGAUUGUUUUCCAUACAAAUAGAUAAAUGGAGCAGUAAGUAAGCAUAGUCAUGCUCUUAUCUUCUGGAUCCUUAAGAGGAACAGCUGAUAUUCUCUCCUUUGGAACAUCUGAGCAAUGUGACAAGUGGAUACUGUAAAACCGAUUCGAAGCAACACACCUGGAAACAACUGAAAAAGAUCAAAAGAAAGGAGAUAACUCUAUAAGAUAAUCUCAAGAAUGGGAUGUCAAACUGUGAGGCAAAAAGUAAUCCAUCUGAUAUCAUUUUGGUGGUUGAAAGAUUGAGCAAUUACCAGGAGCAAUUAUCUGGAACCCAAUGCAGUGCUGUAAUCACAGACUAUUUUCUUCAAAGUAUUGAACAAUAACUUCCUUCAGAAGGUUAUAGCCAGGAGGAAUACAAUGCCGAUGGAUCGAUAUCUUACGGAAGUGUUGGGUCUUAAAAUUUUUAUCUCUCACAGUAGAUUUCCAUUGUGAGAGAAAUGAUACUUUGCAUGUUUGUUCCAAAUACAUAAUCAUUAUAGACUUCUCAUUUUCGGGAGGAGAGCGAGAGAGAUACAGAGAGCACCAGGAGGCUGCCGGGAAGGUGUGUUGGGGAUCUUGUCAGCGCUCAGGUCUCAUCAUUACUGGAAUGAAGUAGCUGUUGACCUUCUGCAGGACACAAGAGUCAGGAGCAGAGUGGAACUGGCACAGAACAAGGUGGCAACAGAGGAGAUGACUCUCAGCACUGGGGCUAUGAUAGGGCCCAGGGUGUUCAGCAUUGCUGAGCACAUUGAGGAUGAAUGUUCCAACAUUUUUCUGUUUCUUAACUCUGAGCAUGAUGAGCAUAGGCCUCCUGUUUGCCAACUCAUGCCACGUCCCACACAUCAAAUAUCCCCUUGUGAUUUCAUGCUGUCAGAUAACCAAGAACUCCCAGCUGCUCUGCCGCACUCAGGAGAUAGACAGAGAGACAGGGAGAGAGAGGGAGACCAUCAGUAAAGUGCUAAUGAACAGACCCUGACAUUGGCAACCACCAGCUCAUACAAUGACAUUGCACUUACCUUGGAGGUUAUUAUUAACUUGGGAAGGUCAACAGGCACAAGUGAGAUGCCACCAGAAGAGGGAGAAGGUCAGGCUACUCACUGGGGGUGAGUACAUUACUAUUGUCAGAGAUUCAGAUGUGGUCCCACACAGAGGGCAUACAGGAAUGAAAUGCUGGGUGCAUUGGUUGGCAUGUGAACAGUUUCCUGUCACUGCUAAAGAGCAUUGAGGAGUCUGACUUGAAGAUGGUGGAGGACAUCACCGAGAGGGUCCCCUCUUCCUAGUGUCUGCUCCAUCUCCCCAGUGUGCUACAAACACUGAGGCACUAUCAUUACUACCAUCAUAUCUAUGCAGCACUUCUACUGACAGGUCAUCUCCUCCUCUGUGCUCUCUGUGAGGAUACAACACUGCAAUUGCUGUAAUGUAACACACAAAACCUCCAGAGUCAUUAGAGACACUGCAACAACAGGAGUUCUUUUGAUGAAUUUAACUUCAAUGCGUGAGCCUGCUUCUUUAAAGAAUAAACAGUAGAACACCAGUCCUAGUGUCUCUGUUUCAAGGUUGGCUGUUCAUCUUGAUAAAAAGUAA